rnacentral:rRNA from 1 species
GAUGAACGCUAGCUACAGGCUUAACACAUGCAAGUCGCGGGGCAGCAUGGGGGUUGCUUGCAAUCCCCGAUGGCGACCGGCGCACGGGUGAGUAACGCGUAUCCAACCUGCCCUUCACCACGGGAUAACACGGCGAAAGUCGGACUAAUACCGUAUGUUGUCCAUUGACGGCAUCCGAUUUGGACGAAAGGUUUGGCGGUGAAGGAUGGGGAUGCGUCCGAUUGGCUGGACGGCGGGGUGACGGCCCACCGUGGCGACGAUCGGUAGGGGUUCUGAGAGGAAGGCCCCCCACACUGGAACUGAGACACAGUCCAGACUCCUACGGGAGGCAGCAGUGAGGAAUAUUGGUCAAGGGGCGUAAGCCUGAACCAGCCAAGUAGCGUGCAGGAGGACGGCCCUAUGGGUUGUAAACUGCUUUUAUGCGGGGAUAAAGUGGCCCACGUGUGGGUUUUUGCAGGUACCGCAUGAAUAAGGACCGGCUAAUUCCGUG